CUUAGGUCUAUUUCCUUAACUAAGUUUGUAUUUGAUCUGUACAAGAACUUCAACGAGUAGCUCAUUUAUUUCUUCUUGUUGAUUUUGCUUUCGCCUUAAUAUCUGGUACAUCAGUUAGCAUUACCUAAAUAAAACUUAGUAGCUUCUGUGCUCGGAAUUUUCCUAGGUUCUUAAUGUUGAGAUUUUGGAUUUGGUUGGAACCCUGGAAUAACUUCUUAUUUAUUCUAUGAAUAUGAACUUGGAAUUUUUAUAAUUGUGUUCGAACAGGCUUCAGUUUUGAGUGAAUUUUGUGAUUCUAUGAAUAGGAACUAGUUCUGCUAGAUGUCAGAUUUAAUCACGAGUAGUCUUGAUCUUCUAUAUUUGAUUGUUACUAUUUCUUAUGUUCUUGUUUCUGUCUAUUUGGUUGCUUUUCACUGAAGGAAGAUAAUGAUGCUUCUUGAUGUUUGGUUUAGUUAGUGGUUUGGCUAAUUUGCUUGAACGGGACUAAGGAAGUGAGGAUGAUGGUGAUGUAUGGGGAGUAGGGUGGGUGUGGAAGAUGAGAAGGAAGCCAACGGGAUGCUGAGCUUUGAUCCUCAAUUACCCAUUUCGAAUGCACUGUAAUGCCCUUCUUUCAUAUACUUGUUUCGUUAUUAUUUGAGUUUACAUUUUAAGUUGCCAUCUUUGAUCAACUUGUAAUUCUUUUUUCUCUAAAAUGUUUAGGCUUUGUUUUUGUCCACUCUAAUGUACGUAUUGAACAGAUGCUAACAUGGUUGCCAUCAAUUGCAUGCAUUGAAGUAUGUCUGCUACUGCUACUAGCGUCAGAAAUGUUUUCUGAUAUUUUGACUUUGAAUUUUGAAUGUCAUAUUACAAUUUGGUAGAUAAGAACACAGUAACGGGUAAAAAUUCUUGUUUGACUGAUAUUCGCAGAUUAGUAGAUUGAAUGAUUACAAGGUGCUUUCUUGUGGUUUCAAUAGUUGAACGUAAUUGUGAUUGUUAUUUGUUUCUCCCUGUAGCCAUUCCUUUAUUGUGAUCUAUUAAUUAUGAAUAAAAAAAAUGAUUGGAAGUUUGUUAAGAUGUCUGGUCCGUGUCCAAGUUAUGAUGUCUUAAAAGAGAAUAUAAUAUCAUAUGUCUACUUUAAUACUUUGAUCAGUAGCAUUAUGUUGGUACUUUUAAUAGAAAUUAAUCUGAUUGUCAGAUUGUAAUGCAUUUCUUGUAACUUAUUUCUUCAUAACUCUGGUUUUCAGUAGCAUAGAGGGAAAUACAAUCCAAUCAUAUCGUGCCUCUGAUAUUGGGGUGUUUGAGCAAAAUAUUGCAUUUCGCUUCGAUGAUGCUGUUGACCUGAGUGCAAAUACAUUGUUCAAUUCAGCAAAAGCAAGUAGCCAAGCAGUCUCUUCGGAUCCCCUCAAUAUUGGCACUUUUGACAAGUCAACUACUUACUUUAAUAUUAAUCCAUCUGCUGCCCAAGUGGAGUUGCAAAGAUUGCCACUAGAAAAGAAUCAACAGUUGAACCUGGUAUCCAUAUCUAGUGGCAAUACAGAGAAUUUGGGAGAGUCCAAUAUGGCUGAUGCCAGUCCACGGACUGAUAUAUCAACAGAUGCAGACACUGAUGAAAAAAAUCAGAGGGUACUGUUUCUUUCCUAUUCUCUCUUUGUAUAUAUUAUGUGCUGAUUCUGCAAUUUUAGAGAUUUGUUUAGAAGUUAUUAAGUAUUUUAAUUAUUACUCCUUAGUUUUGGGUUCCGAUGUUCAAUCUUUCUCAUGUAUCACAAGUUGAGCUAUGACAUUCUCCAUUCAACUCGUUGGAAGAUGAAUUGAUGUAACAAAAUUAUGUACAGUUUCUUUCCUUUUCUCUCUUUGUAUAUAUUAUGUACCCAAUUCUGCAAUUUUUGAGAUUUACUUAGAAGUUAUCAAGAAUUUUAAUUAUUACCCCAUAGUUUUGAUUCCGAUAUUCAUUUUUUCUCUUGCAUAACAAGUUGAGCUGUGAAAUUCUCCAUUUAACUCGAUGGAAAAUGAAUCGAUGAAACAAAAUUGCUGUGAAUCUAACAAUUUAACACUGUAUAUGCAGUUUGAUAGGGGUCAAUCUAGUAUUGUUGCAGUUUCAGAUUCCAGUGACAGAUCCAAGGAUAAAUUGGAUCAGAAGGUAAAAUAUUUGUAUAAUAACAUAUGUCAUAGUAGCUGGUUGUAUUUGACGAUAUUUUGUCUUGUUACACUCUGCAGACUCUUCGUAGACUUGCCCAAAAUAGAGAAGCUGCAAGAAAAAGCCGGUUGAGGAAGAAAGUGUGUGCCCCCUAUCCCUUCUUUAAUUCAUUUUAAUCAGAUAUUUGGUUCUCAUUUCGUUAUUAUUUCAUAUUUCAUUUUCCAUUGUUGCAAUGAAUACCAUUUACAUGCAAUAAUACUGAUUUUUACUGCUGGAUGGCAAGUAUGCAAUGUAAAUUUAUAAAAAAUGGACCAAUUUUAAGGUAAUGUGUGCCAGGAUCAGUGAUCAUGGAACUGUGGAUUGGCUAUGACCAAAUGUGAUGAUAUUCUGGUUAAAGUUUAUUAUUGUAUGGAUUGGAAACCUCUAUAAACAACGAAUUAGUGCCAAGUGAUUUUAUUUUCUCCAAUUCUUAUGUUGCGAGGAUUCAUAUUUAGUUGUAAUAAAAGGUAUAAUUCACUCUUGAUAAUUGGAGAAAUUAGUUAAUGGAACUUUAAUACUUUAUGCCCUCUUAAAGAGCAGUAAUAUUAACAUGGGAAAUUAGAUAGAUUCAAUUCUAUAUUUUAUUUGUUGAAACAAUAGAAUUUGAUUGAAUUCCAAUUUUUUUUUUCAUCACAUUAAUUAUUACACUAAUAAAUUGCAUGAUUAAUAGAAAGGAAAGGUAGAAGGCUUUGAAAGUAAAGAGAAGGGGGGAGGGGUGGGGAGAAAACUUUGAAAGGAAGGUAGAAACUAAUUGGAAAUUGUAAAAAAGGGGUCCAACUUUUUCAUUACUUUAAUGAUGACAUGGUUUAUUUUUGGUGCAAUGGUAUAAGGCAGCGAUUAUGGUGGGAACAGUUCUUUGGUUAAAUCCUACAAAGAUUAAGAUAUGGCCUUAGAACAGCAGAUUCUAAUUGAUAAGUCUUUACAUGCAUUCUGGUGUUGGUUUGUUAUAAGAGAGACAGAGAGGGUUAGGGGCCUUAUGAGAAGCGAAGUAAGUGGUUACCUUUGUGGACUUCUGAUAAUUUUACAUCUGCAAGGUUUGGUGACAACAUACUUCAUGAUGCAUGCAUAUGUAAUUACAUUGCCUCUAUUGAGGUGCAUCUAUCCUUGUUCUCCCCAUAGGCCUAUGUCCAGCAACUGGAAAGUAGCCGCUUGAAGCUGACCCAACUGGAACAGGAGCUACAGCGAGCGCGCCAGCAGGGAAUCUUUAUAUCAAGCUCAGGGGACCAAGCCCAUUCAAUGAGUGGAAAUGGGGCCAUGGCAUUUGAUGUGGAAUAUGCACGGUGGCUGGAAGAGCAAAAUCGACAAAUUAAUGAGCUAAGAUCAGCUGUCAAUUCUCAUGCGGGUGAUGCUGAACUUCGCAUUAUCAUAGAUGGUAUAAUGGCUCAUUAUGAUGAAAUUUUUCGGCUAAAGGGAAAUGCAGCCUCAGCUGAUGUUUUCCAUUUGCUAUCUGGCAUGUGGAAGACACCUGCUGAGAGGUGUUUCUUGUGGCUUGGUGGCUUCCGUUCAUCAGAGCUCCUCAAGCUUCUUGUGAACCAGUUGGAGCCUUUGACUGAGCAGCAGUUGGUAGGCAUAGGUAAUCUGCAGCAAUCUUCCCAACAGGCAGAAGAUGCUUUAUCUCAAGGAAUGGAGGCAUUGCAACAGUCCCUGGCUGAGACACUGUCUAGUGGAUCUCUUGGUUCAUCCAGUUCAUCUGGAAAUGUGGCAAAUUACAUGGGUCAGAUGGCCAUGGCCAUGGGCAAGCUAGGGACCCUUGAGGGGUUCAUUCGCCAGGCUGACAAUUUGCGGCAGCAAACACUACAACAGAUGCACCGAAUAUUGACAACUCGCCAGUCAGCUCGUGCACUUCUUGCCAUCCAUGACUACUUCUCCAGACUACGUGCUCUUAGUUCUCUUUGGCUUGCCAGACCAAGAGAAUGAACAUUGCAGUGGAGUCAUGUAUUUGCAGAAAAAUCUAAGGCAUAUUCCACGUCCAGCAAUCAUACACGGUUUCUAGUGUUUAAUAUAUAUAUAUAUUGCCCCUACAGUUCUCAUCAUGUAGUUUCAGAUGUGAAUUAUGGAACUAAUCUGUAUCAGCCACGCUAGUCAUCUUACUGUAGUCACAGAAUUUUACUACUCCAGAUACAUGUAUCAAUGUUAAUUAUCCUCACCCUCCUCAUCUUUUCAAAUAGGAAUUGGCUGUCCUUGUAAUGUGACAUUUUUCUUAUAUUUGAUGAUUUUGAAAGUUGGGAUACAAACCAAAAUGAAUUGUUCAUUUACUUAAAUUUUAUCAUCUUUUUUUUGUUGGGGUCAUGGUUUAUGCACCAACAGGCAACAGAUGCAUAAUUUCUCGGCAACCACUGUGGUUCAAUCCGUCGAAGAUUUUCUCUAAGCAUGAAUGUAUACACAUUUGGCUUUCUAUCAAGAUAAUUCUCCGCAACCAUGAUGAAUGCCAUCUCCCACGAGGCCUGGGACUUUAAGUUCGCUCUUUCAUUUCCAUGAUCACUAAGAAAACCUAAACAUUGGCCAUCGAAGUAAAUCACAUGACGCCAUGCAACGAAUACAUGAUACGACACACGAUACUGACUUCUUCCACCAAAAGAAAAGACCCAUUUCUUGAUUUAUGAAACCUAGUAGGAAAUCAUAAAAGAAAAGGUAAUAAUUUGGGUUCCAGCAAAGUGAACCAUAAGCUAAAAAAGUGUUUUGUCCACCAGAUGAUGCACAGACGGUAGUUUAUUAUUAUUUGGGAGAUCCAUACUCAAAACAGAAACUCAAGAGAGGGAAGGAAGUCCACAAAACAUUGAAGUUUAAAAGUAGUUGCUCUUGUAGAAGUUCUUGAGGAACUCAGAGAUGCCUUGAUCCUUGGUGUCCAAAUCCUGCACAAGUCCUUGUUGACCCACGACAUAUUGGCCAAUAAGAUGAUGGCGCUGCUUUGCAUGCUCAGUAAUGUUGCUCAGCUCUUCCGUUCCUUUGAAAAGCAGCAAAUCAAUUACCUUGGGAUUGGUGAUGUUGGAGUUCUUGCGAAUCUCAGAGGCGAUGGUGGAACGGAGCUGGGACACAGUGACGACGUCCUGUAGAUUGUAGAUUUCCACGAUUUGGGGAAUUGAUCUGCAGGCCGUUCUAAAGAAAUCGAAAACACGAGCCCUUGCCUCCUCCAGACUCGCCGAGUUCGGAGGAACCUUCACGCUUCUCAAUGUAAACGACAUCUUGUCAGCCUAACUUGCUAAACUCACUCACUCAGCUGUCUCAGUCCUCGCUCGACGGUGUUUCAGUGAAGACACCAAUCCAAAAGAUCUAUUACACGGUGGACAUGGAUGGAACCAUACGAUGCUUCUAACAGCUAGCAACGUGGCCAGAAUUAGAGAUACGACGUCG
rnacentral:misc_RNA from 1 species